rnacentral:rRNA from 1 species
UGCCAGCCGCCGCGGUAACACGGGGGGCGCAAGCGUUAUUCGGAAUUAUUGGGCGUAAAGGGCGCGCAGGCGGGAUAAUAAGUCAAUGGUGAAAUCUCUCGGCUCAACCGAGAAACUGCCAUUGAAACUGUUAUUCUUGAAUCUAGUUGAAGUGAACGGAAUGUAACAUGUAGCGGUGAAAUGCAUAGAUAUGUUACAGAACACCAAUUGCGAAGGCAGUUCACUAAACUAGUAUUGACGCUCAGGCACGAAAGCGUGGGUAGCGAACAGGAUUAGAUA